UACAGAGGUGGCAAGCGUUGUUCGGAAUUACUGGGCGUAAAGGGCGCGUAGGCGGCCUACUAAGUCAGACGUGAAAUCCCCCGGCUUAACCUGGGAACUGCGUCUGGUACUGGAAGGCUCGAGUAUGGGAGAGGGAUGUAGAAUUCCAGGCGUAGCGGUGAAAUGCGUAGAUAUCUGGAGGAAUACCGGUGGCGAAGGCGGCAUCCUGGACCAUUACUGACGCUGAGGCGCGAAAGCUAGGGGAGCAAACGGG
rnacentral:rRNA from 1 species